rnacentral:lncRNA from 1 species
AAUAAUAUAUUAAAAUUUAAUAUAUAUUAUAAAUAUAAUAUAUAAUAUAAUAUAUAUAAUAUUGAUAUACAACGAUAUAUUGAUAUAUCAAUUUUUUUAAUAGAUUAAGAGAUUAUCUUUAUAUUUCAAUCUAAAAUCACUGCUUGUUGGAUUUUCCAUCUUGAGGACAGGUCUCCUCCUAUCAUUAGAUUGGGGAGUGAUUUGAAAAGUAGGAGUGAUUUAAAAUCAUCACUUCAUAAGAUAACUUUGGUGCAACUAAAUUUAUCAAAAAAAGAAAAUAAUUUAAAGAAUAACAUAAACUAUGGAAGGAAGGA